AGAAGCCCCAAGCUUGCCCGAGUGGGCAGAGGGAUCCUCCUCCUGGCAUCACUGAUGUUCACAAGAAGAAUUGAGGCUGUACAAAGUGUUCUUGUUCCUGGCCCUGGAGUGCAUUAAGAACAUGAUGAGCCAGGAGUAUCGGCGAUGUUGCUUGGAUAAUGUCCAUAACUGCUGAGCUUUUCUUCAGCUCUGCAACAAUGGUCACACAACCUGUUAAGACUUUGCACACUUAGCUCAGUGCUGACAACUAAAGCAUCUUAAAAAUGCCA